UACGUAGGGUGCAAGCGUUGUCCGGAAUUAUUGGGCGUAAAGAGCUUGUAGGCGGUUUGUCGCGUCUGCUGUGAAAAUCCGGGGCUCAACCCCGGACUUGCAGUGGGUACGGGCAGACUAGAGUGUGGUAGGGGGAGACUGGAAUUCCUGGUGUAGCGGUGAAAUGCGCAGAUAUCAGGAGGAACACCGAUGGCGAAGGCAGGUCUCUGGGCCACUACUGACGCUGAGAAGCGAAAGCAUGGGGAGCAAACAGG
rnacentral:rRNA from 1 species